UCUUCAUGGAGAUGUCCUUUGUGAUCUCCUGAGUCUCUGCUUCAUCCAGGAACAAUUUUAGCCUCCUGCUUCUGAGCCCAAAAACUUUUGCUGUUUCAUGUAGAAGACCGUGGUAUGUUAAUCCAUUCUGACCAACGGGGUUUUCCAUUAGAAGAGUUCCCACUGUUCCUUUCUGACACUCUUGUGGUUUUGCAUUUACUAACUGCAAGUUGAUAUACUGGCAGAGAAGAGCAUCAGGAGAGUUGAUGAGAGCAGGUGCUGACCCCGUUGUCACAUGCAGAGUCUUUCCACUGAGACUAAGCAAGUCAGUUUUGUUUAUCAGUUCUGUUUUUCCAUUAAAAACUGUCAGUUUUGAAUUUUUAAGUCCAAAAAUGCAGGAGACUGCAUCGACAAGUCCAGUGAGGUUCAACGUAUUAUCUCCUUUUGGAUUCUCCAGCAGCAACACACCAUCUUGUUCUGUCCCAUUAACACAGACUUUGAGGUUGACGUAGGAACAGGCUGGACCAACACGCUCACACAAACCACCUCUGACAAGUGUAAUUUCUAGCUCCGAUCCCUUCAGCUGAGUGGUCUCCUGGAUGAGAACUUCUUUUGAGGUAGGAACCGGGUAAGGCUUCAGGGCAGCCUUUAUUGUUGCAAAAAUGAAAUCUGUAUGCUCCUUAAUGACAGUAUCCAAGUAAUCACCUUCUGGAUGUGAUCUGUAGUACACUGUAAUCUCAUCUGUGGGAACUAGAUUUCGCUUUUUGCGAAGCUUCUGAAUGCGGUUGAUCACUUCCCGGGCCACUCCUUCAUCCACCAUAGACUGGUCUGGGGUAACAUCCAGCAGAACUAAAACCUGAGCAUCAGAAUGUGCCUCAAACUGAGCAGAUCCUCCUGCAACCUGAUCAAAAGUAUACAUGAGACGAAGAUCCUCCCCAUGGAGCUCGUGUCCUU
rnacentral:lncRNA from 1 species